rnacentral:rRNA from 1 species
GAUGAACGCUGGCGGCGUGCUUAACACAUGCAAGUCGAACGGAAAGGCCCAAGCUUGCUUGGGUACUCGAGUGGCGAACGGGUGAGUAACACGUGGGUGAUCUGCCCUGCACUUCGGGAUAAGCCUGGGAAACUGGGUCUAAUACCGGAUAGGACCACAUUUUGGAUGGUGUGGUGGAAAGUUUUUCGGUGUGGGAUGAGCUCGCGGCCUAUCAGCUUGUUGGUGGGGUAAUGGCCUACCAAGGCGUCGACGGGUAGCCGGCCUGAGAGGGUGUACGGCCACAUUGGGACUGAGAUACGGCCCAGACUCCUACGGGAGGCAGCAGUGGGGAAGAUUGCACAAUGGGCGCCAGCCUGAUGCAGCGACGCCGCGUGGGGGAUGACGGCCUUCGGGUUGUAAACUCCUUUCGCUAGGGACGAAGCGUUAUGUGACGGUACCUGGAGAAGAAGCACCGGCUAACUACGUG